rnacentral:lncRNA from 1 species
UCCCCCCAGUGAUCGAAUGACGUGGCCAAGCCUGUAGCUCAAGGUUGUGUGUACCACCUAGAUGAACCCGGUGCUCUCCCCCACUUCUGUUCUCAUCCAGGGUAUGCUUUCUAUUCAUGAUACUUUUGUUAAGGAUUUGAUCGACACAGGUGCUACUCAUUCUUUUAUUUCUUGUACAUUUGCUUGUAAGCUUGAUAUUAGGCCAAAACCUUUAGCAAAAAAAUUAACGGUAGAAACUCCCUCUAGGGGAUUACUAGAAGCUCACUGUGUAUAUAAAGAUUGUAAGAUAAAGGCUUC